AGAGUUUGAUCCUGGCUCAGGAUGAACGCUGGCGGCGUGCCUAAUACAUGCAAGUCGAACGAGGAGUAGCAAUACUCCUAGUGGCGAACGGGUGAGUAACGCGUUGGUGACCUGCCUCGAAGUGAGGGAUAACAGGCCGAAAGGCUUGCUAAUACCGCAUGGUCAACCGGGAGACUAGAAGCCUGGUUGUAAAGGAGAAAUCCGCUUUGAGAGGGGCCUGCGUCCCAUCAGCUAGUUGGUAAGGUAACGGCUUACCAAGGCGAUGACGGGUAGGGGACCUGAGAGGGUGAUCCCCCACAAUGGAACUGAAACACGGUCCAUACACCUACGGGUGGCAGCAGUAGGGAAUAUUGCUUAAUGGGCGCAAGCCUGAAGCAGCAACGCCGCGUGUGCGAUGAAGGCCUUCGGGUUGUAAAGCACUUUUUGCUGGGAAGAGGAAGGACGGUACCAGCAGAAUAAGCCUCGGCUAACUACGUGCCAGCAGCCGCGGUAAAACGUAGGAGGCGAGCGUUAUCCGGAUUUACUGGGUGUAAAGCGCGUGCAGGCGGUUUACUAAGUUGGAUGUGAAAGCUCCUGGCUCAACUGGGAGAGGUCGUUCAAAACUGGUAGACUCGAGAGCAGUAGGGGAAGGUGGAAUUCCGGGUGUAGUGGUGAAAUGCGUAGAUAUCAGCAGGAACACCUGUGGCGAAAGCGGCCCCCUGGUCUGCUCCUGACACUCAGACGCGAAAGCUAGGGGAGUGAACGGGAUUAGAAACCCCGGUAAUCCUAGCCGUAAACGAUGGAUGCUAGGUGUGGGUGGUAUUGACCCCAUCCGUGCCGAAGCCAACGCGUUAAGCAUCCCGCCUGGGGACUACGGCCGCAAGGUUAAAACUCAAAGGAAUUGAUGG
rnacentral:rRNA from 1 species